UCCUCCCUCUUUCUUCGUGCCUAAUACAUGCAAGUUGAGCGAUGAAGAUUGGUGCUUGCCCCAAUUUGAAGAGCAGCGAACGGGUGAGUAACGCGUGGGGAAUCUGCCUUUGAGCGGGGGACAACAUUUGGAAACGAAUGCUAAUACCGCAUAACAACUUUAAACAUAAGUUUUAAGUUUGAAAGAUGCAAUUGCAUCACUCAAAGAUGAUCCCGCGUUGUAUUAGCUAGUUGGUGAGGUAAAGGCUCACCAAGGCGAUGAUACAUAGCCGACCUGAGAGGGUGAUCGGCCACAUUGGGACUGAGACACGGCCCAAACUCCUACGGGAGGCAGCAGUAGGGAAUCUUCGGCAAUGGACGAAAGUCUGACCGAGCAACGCCGCGUGAGUGAAGAAGGUUUUCGGAUCGUAAAACUCUGUUGGUAGAGAAGAACGUUGGUGAGAGUGGAAAGCUCAUCAAGUGACGGUAACUACCCAGAAAGGGACGGCUAACUACGUG
rnacentral:rRNA from 1 species